rnacentral:rRNA from 1 species
GCAUGCGAUCAUACCAGCACUAAAGCACCGGAUCCCAUCAGAACUCCGUAGUUAAGCGUGCUUGGGCGAGAGUAGUACUAGGAUGGGUGACCUCCUGGGAAGUCCUCGUGUUGCAUUCC